AUGCACGCUGGCGGCGUGCCUCAUACAUGCAAGUCGAGCGCACGGACGAGAAGCUUGCUUCUCUGAUGUUAGCGGCGGACGGGUGAGUAACACGUGGAUAACCUACCUAUAAGACUGGGAUAACUUCGGGAAACCGGAGCUAAUACCGGAUAAUAUUUUGAACCGCAUGGUUCAAAAGUGAAAGACGGUCUUGCUGUCACUUAUAGAUGGAUCCGCGCUGCAUUAGCUAGUUGGUAAGGUAACGGCUUACCAAGGCAACGAUGCAUAGCCGACCUGAGAGGGUGAUCGGCCACACUGGAACUGAGACACGGUCCAGACUCCUACGGGAGGCAGCAGUAGGGAAUCUUCCGCAAUGGGCGAAAGCCUGACGGAGCAACGCCGCGUGAGUGAUGAAGAUCUUCGGAUCGUAAAACUCUGUUAUUAGGGAAGAACAUAUGUGUAAGUAACUGUGCACAUCUUGACGGUACCUAAUCAGAAAGCCACGGCUAACUACGUG
rnacentral:rRNA from 1 species